AGUGAACGCUGGCGGUAGGCCUAACACAUGCAAGUCGAACGGCAGCACAGUAAGAGCUUGCUCUUACGGGUGGCGAGUGGCGGACGGGUGAGGAAUACAUCGGAAUCUACUUUUUCGUGGGGGAUAACGUAGGGAAACUUACGCUAAUACCGCAUACGACCUACGGGUGAAAGCAGGGGAUCUUUGGACCUUGCGCGAUUGAAUGAGCCGAUGUCGGAUUAGCUAGUUGGCGGGGUAAAGGCCCACCAAGGCGACGAUCCGUAGCUGGUCUGAGAGGAUGAUCCGCCACACUGGAACUGAGACACGGUCCAGACUCCUGCGAGAGGCAGCAGUGGGGAAUAUUGGGCAAUGGGCGCGAGCCUGAUCCAGCCAUACCGCGUGGGUGAAGAAGGCCUUCGGGUUGUAAAGCCCUUUUGUUGGGAAAGAAAAGCAGCAGGUUAAUACCCCGCUGUUCUGACGGUACCCGAAGAAUAAGCACCGGCUAACUUCGUG
rnacentral:rRNA from 1 species